AUACGUAGGGGACGAGCGUUGUCCGGAAUUAUUGGGCGUAAAGAGUGAGCAGGCGGCUAAUUAAGUCUGAGGUUAAAGCGUGGGGCUCAACCCCAUAAAGCCUUGGAAACUGAUUGACUAGAGUACGGGAGAAGUGAAGGGAACUCCAUGUGUAGCGGUGAAAUGCGUAGAUAUAUGGAAGAACACCAGUGGCGAAGGCGCUUCACUAGCCCGAAACUGACGCUCAGUCACGAAAGCGUGGGUAGCAAAUAGGAUUAGAUACCCUAGUAGUCCACGCUGUAAACGAUGACAACUAAAUAUUGCCGCGAGGCAGUGUUGAAGCUAACGCAUUAAGUUGUCCGCCUGGGGAGUACGGUCGCAAGACUGAAACUUAAAGGAAUUGACGGGG
rnacentral:rRNA from 1 species